CUACUUCACGGGCUGUACCGGGGUGAAAACUGAACAGAAAAAGACGGGGACACUUUCAUUUUGUAGCCAGCAAAGCGAUGAAAACAAGCAUACCCAACAACUCCAUACUGGAGGUAGAGAAAAUAUCCAUGCGGCUUCGAAAAUCUGGAUGUUAGUUGACGAACAAAGUUUGGAGAUGGUAAACAAAUGGACUUUACACGACAAUAUUCACAAGCUGGAAUAAUUUUAUGAAAAACCAUGUGGAUGCUUUUGAUCAGUGGAUUCUCACGGACAAUUGGAAUAUAAAUAAUUGAGGAAUGGACACAUAUUACGGUUCUCGGAUUGCUUCAAAGCUGGCGGCAUGAAAACCACAAGGCUCGUUACUCAGUUAUUGGGUCUGACAGGAGUGCUGCUGCUAGACACUCCAGUCGAAGUCGGUGUGGUUCAAGAAGAAGGGGAUUUAUGUGAAAGGGAGCAUCUAUGCAAAAGAAAAGAAAAUAUAAUUUGUUUGCCGGAUGUGUCUUCAUAGUGAAUAUGUAGUUGUGGUAAACUUUUGAUUGAGCAUAAACAGUUACCCUCAUUAUAAUGCAUUUUGCAAGUUUAGCAUUAUAAAAUAUAUAGGAUGUUUUAUGUUGGAUAUUUGAAACCCUUAUAGAUCCACCAUUUAUCAUUAGAUAUCCCACCUAUCUAUCGACCGGAAGACUUAACACGUUAAUCAUACAAAUACAAAUAGCUUACCUAGCCCAUUAGAAUUUGCUUUUCAAUGCAUCACCAGUAUGUGUGUGUGUGUGUGUGUGUGUGUGUGUGUGUGUGUGUGUGUGUGCGUGUGCGCGUGUGUGUGUGUGUGUGUGUGUGUGUGUACACUUGAUUGGUUUUCUGUGAAAGUGUGAUAUUUGGCACCAGCAAUGAUCUGUACUUCAAGAGAUGUCAAGAAGUUGUGUAAUAUACUUCAACUGUACAGAGAGGGAGUGGGAGAGAGACAACCACCAUAAGCACCGGCCUCGUCCUGUCUCCUGUCUCUAGCUUUCUUCCGGGCUCACCCCACCUGUGUUUCUCGCUGCCUGUUACCUCUCUACGUCUCUGCCUGCCUCCACAUGUCUCUACUGAUGCCUUCCAGAUGUUUGUUGCUGAAGUCCACUCAGGAUGAGUGUACCACUGAAAGGCACUGGAUAACACCAACUCACCCUCAUUCAUCAUCUGCCUCAGUGCGGUGAAUGGAUAUCCUUACUCUCUAAAUUACAUGACCCAGUGACAGAGAGCUAAAAGCAAGAUUUGUUAGGGCAAUUGCCCCGAAUUAUGAAUAAUUCUCAAUCAGAUAUCUCCGGUUUUGUCCUUCAGUGAUGCUAGUUUGCAG
ensembl:lncRNA